ensembl:lncRNA
CUUCUCUCUACUUACUCCCAUAUACCUUGUCCUUAUUUCUGUGUAUCCAAUUCUGUGUCCAUUAUUCCAUUUUGUCUUGUUUUGUCAGCUCUGCAGUCCAAAGAUGGAGAAGCUCUAUACAGUCAGCAAAAACAAGAAUGGGAGCUGACUGUGCUUUGGAUCAUGAACUCCUUAUUGCCAAAUACAGACUGAAAUUGAACAAAGUGGAGAAAACCUCUGGAACAUUCAGAGAGAACCAACUCCUACCAGAGAUCAUAAAAUAUUUGGAUACUGAACUUGUCAGUGCUCUUCCAAAUGUUCAUAUUCAAUUUGAGGAAAAGUUUAUUUGGAAGUCAUGUUACCAUGAAACAUGGGAUCAAAUCAGGACAGCAGCGAGGGAAAUCUUCAGGAUGAAAGCUAAGAAGCAGGACUAUCAUCAUCAGUGUAAUAAACUGGGGCAGGAGAAGAGAAGAAAUGAGUCAACUCUAGGAGGAAAAGAAGAUGACUUCAUAGAU